rnacentral:rRNA from 1 species
CCUACGGGUGGCAGCAGUGAGGAAUAUUGGUCAAUGGGCGCUAGCCUGAACCAGCCAAGUAGCGUGAAGGAUGACUGCCCUACGGGUUGUAAACUUCUUUUAUAUGGGAAUAAAGUGACGCAUGUAUACCUCUUUGCAUGUACUUUAUGAGUAAGGAUCGGCUAACUCCGUGCCAGCAGCCGCGGUAAUACGGAGGAUCCGAGCGUUAUCCGGAUUUAUUGUGUUUAAAGGGAGCGUAGGAGGGUUGUUAAGUCAGUUGUGAAAGUUUGCGGCUCAACCGUACAAUUGCAGUUGAUACUGGCAGUCUUGAGUACAGUAGAGGUAGGCGGAAUUCGUGGUGUAGCGGUGAAAUGCUUAGAUAUCACGAAGAACUCCGAUGGCGAAGGCAGCUUACUGGACUGUAACUGACACUGAUGCUCGAAAGUGUGGGUAUCAAACAGGAUUAGAUACCCGUGUAGUC